AAUUCUCAACCAUUCGGGCUUAUGUCUGUAUGGCUUGGUUGUGAGGGAUGCGGGCUUUUGUUAGUCGGCUCUCUUGAAAUACAUUAGCUGGGAACUAGUAUUUGGUUCAAGUGCAUUGAUGCUUGAAGGCCUCCUGGUGUGAUAAUUAUCUACGCCGUUGGCUUAGUCUUUGCUUGUAUUGGCCUUAGAAUGUGUCCUGCUUCUAAUCGUCUACUUGUAGACUAAUCCUUAUGGAUUACUAUUUGACUA
rnacentral:misc_RNA from 1 species